UACGGAGGAUCCAAGCGUUAUCCGGAUUUAUUGGGUUUAAAGGGUGCGCAGGCGGAAGAUUAAGUCAGCGGUGAAAUUUUGCAGCUUAACUGUAACAGUGCCGUUGAUACUGGGGAGCUAGGAUUUGGUUGCUGUGGGUGGAAUGUGUGGUGUAGCGGUGAAAUGCUUAGAUAUCACGAGGAACUCCGAUUGCGCAGGCAGCUUACUAAACUACUACUGACGCUCAGGCACGAAGGCGUGGGGAUCAAACAGGAUUAGAUACCCGU
rnacentral:rRNA from 1 species